UCGACGAUGAAUCUUCUAGCUUGCUAGAAGUGGAUUAGUGGCGCACGCGUGAGUAAUGCAUAGGUUAUGUGCCCUUUAGUCUGGGAUAGCCACUGGAAACGGUGAUUAAUACUGGAUACUCCCUACGGGGGAAAGUUUUUCGCUAAAGGAUCAGCCUAUGUCCUAUCAGCUUGUUGGUGAGGUAAUGGCUCACCAAGGCUAUGACGGGUAUCCGGCCUGAGAGGGUGAUCGGACACACUGGAACUGAGACACGGUCCAGACUCCUACGGGAGGCAGCAGUAGGGAAUAUUGCUCAAUGGGGGAAACCCUGAAGCAGCAACGCCGCGUGGAGGAUGAAGGUUUUAGGAUUGUAAACUCCUUUUGUUAGAGAAGAUUAUGACGGUAUCUAACGAAUAAGCACCGGCUAACUCCGUGCCAGCAGCCGCGGUAAUACGGAGGGUGCAAGCGUUACUCGGAAUCACUGGGCGUAAAGAGUGCGUAGGCGGGGUAAUAAGUCAGAUGUGAAAUCCUGUAGCUUAACUACAGAACUGCAUUUGAAACUGUUACUCUGGAGUGUGGGAGAGGUAGGUGGAAUUCUUGGUGUAGGGGUAAAAUCCGUAGAGAUCAAGAGGAAUACUCAUUGCGAAGGCGACCUGCUGGAACAUUACUGACGCUGAUGCACGAAAGCGUGGGGAGCAAACAGGAUUAGAUACCCUGGUAGUCCACGCCCUAAACGAUGGAUGCUAGUUGUUGCCUUGCUUGUCAGGGCAGUAAUGCAGCUAACGCAUUAAGCAUCCCGCCUGGGGAGUACGGUCGCAAGAUUAAAACUCAAAGGAAUAGACGGGGACCCGCACAAGCGGUGGAGCAUGUGGUUUAAUUCGAAGAUACGCGAAGAACCUUACCUAGGCUUGACAUUGAUAG
rnacentral:rRNA from 1 species